rnacentral:rRNA from 1 species
GAUGAACGCUGGCGGCGUGCCUAAUACAUGCAAGUCGAGCGAACAGACGAGGAGCUUGCUCCUCUGACGUUAGCGGCGGACGGGUGAGUAACACGUGGAUAACCUACCUAUAAGACUGGGAUAACUUCGGGAAACCGGAGCUAAUACCGGAUAACAUGUUGAACCGCAUGGUUCAACAGUGAAAGACGGUCUUGCUGUCACUUAUAGAUGGAUCCGCGCCGCAUUAGCUAGUUGGUAAGGUAACGGCUUACCAAGGCAACGAUGCGUAGCCGACCUGAGAGGGUGAUCGGCCACACUGGAACUGAGACACGGUCCAGACUCCUACGGGAGGCAGCAGUAGAGAAUCUUCCGCAAUGGGCGAAAGCCUGACGGAGCAACGCCGCGUGAGUGAAGAAGGUCUUCGGAUCGUAAAACUCUGUUAUUAGGGAAGAACAAAUGUGUAAGUAACUAUGCACGUCUUGACGGUACCUAAUCAGAAAGCCACGGCUAACUACGUG